CCCUGGAAUUCUCACGAUCGCGUUUGGACGCCCACGAGAAAGGGGUACCCCUGGCCUUUCCCCGGGAAAGGCUCCCACGAGUGCAGACGUCGGGGAGGAAACCCUCGCUCGUUCUGUCUUGCACUCGUGAACGACUGGCGGCGGCGACUGGAAGACCUUCCGUCCACCGCUCCUGCCUCCUCCGACCGGCGACUGCGACGCCCCCUGCCCUCCUCCCUUCGACGCUCUGCCCCUCCGGAUGGGGCGACGGGACCGGGGUCGCCAUCCUACUACUUCCCGGAUCUCGUCUCCGCCCCCAAGAUCUUCACCUUCCGAUGACGACGACGGCCAGGAGAUCAUGCUCCUCUUCGUCCAAGAUCCAAGAGUCUUCUCUCCUGUUUGAGUUUUGUAUCACAAGAACCAAUACGGAAGAACAUCCAUCGUUUGCAGUAGUGUUUCUACCUAACUAUCCUGACCUCACAAGUGAGCACAACCACAUAUACCUCCUUGUGAUGCUAAUCUACACACAAUGUUCUAGUAUAUUUCUGAAGGGGACUACUCAGCCUGUACUAGCUUUGUCCUAAUUUUAACUUAGAAUCUUUAAUUAGGAUAACUUGAAGUAUGCUUGUCUUGCUUAUAAUAACGGUGUAGCAUAAACAUACCAGUUAUUGGAAUUCAAUUGUGUUGAUGAAAGUAGCAUUAGUAUCAUGGUAACUGUUCAGUUUAAAAUUACUCUCAUUCAAAUUCUUCCCUUUUGUACCAAGAUAUGGAACCAAGGUUUGAGCAUAUGUAAUCUUGAUAAUUGGCCUUCGGUUUAAACUCUAUGGACCCAAGGGGACAUUCACUCCAUUAUCUCUAUCCAUUUUACACUUUUUGCGUACGCCAUUGAGUUGAUCUAUUGUUGUCUUAACUUCAAGCUUUAUUUGUAAAAAGUAUGUUAGUGGCAAAGUUAUUAAAAGAUGAAACCAUGUGCUAUUAAGAUUUUGAGUUUUCCUGAGGAUUAUUCAAAGAGAGAACAACAUCUUAUUAUGUUUGGAUCUGUUUGUUUGUGAAAGAUGCAUAUAAAUAAGAAUAUGUGCCAAUAUAUAUUAUGACUUCUGAAUUGAUAUUAUCUUUUUGUAAAGAAUUUUGACUUAUGAUGUGAUUGCAGCAAAGCCAAUUGAUAGUAUUAUUGAUGCAGUGCUGUUAAGUCAUCAAUUACUAAUGUACUGUUAGAAAAUGCCUUUACUGAUUGAAGGAGAAAAUUGCUACCAAGGAGAAAACAUAAGGUAUGUAAUUUUGAAGUACCAAUUUAGAGGUGCAGUUUUGUGUUUUCUUCCAUUGGGCAUUUUACAAUUUGUUCAUGAAUUUGCACAUGCUAACUAUAAGCAGAUGAAUAUCUUGUGGAGAAAACAGAGGGUGUAUACAAAUGAGUUCAUGCUCUUGUCAGUUUUUCUUUGUGGAAUUAUCUUGUGUUUUUGUGUGAAUGCAUCUCUACAACUUUAGCUCCUUAUGUCCACCAUGUCGGCGCUGGUGGCAUUGAACAUGUCGACGAUGGGGGCAGUGCCAUCCUUGAUGAUUCAGUUCAGGAUCUCCCACUUGGCGGCGUCCUUGGCGCUGUAGCUCUCUUUCGGGUUCAGCCCGCAGCCGACGGAGACGACCAUGAACUUGCCGUAUGUUGGAAUAAACCCAAGUCCGCACCUAGUAUAUUUCUCUGCCAUGGUAGGCACUUCUGUUUUGCUGCCAUGCAGCGUUUUUAGCUAGUGUCUAGUUUUCAGUUUCAGUCUUUCUUCAGUCAAUCUAUUAGCGAGUUUAGCUAGAGUAGUUAGUCGCCAGGAGCGAUUCUGGCGUCCACUCUGAUCGCUUGUGGGAUGGAUUUUUUUUCAGUUGUAGCUCAUUUUUCAUUAGCUGAUACCUUCAGUUAUCGUAUACCAAUGUCCUUCUCUGAGCCCCUUUUUCAGUUGCAGCUUUGAAUAAAUUCAGUGAAUUUAGUUUCAUGACGAGAUUAUACAAAGUGAAGCAGUUGGUUAGUAGUAAUCCUUUAAACAUUAUACAAUAUCAAGGAGAAAAGCUCUGACAAGCUUGUCAUUAGUGCCAUCCGGUGCAUAUUAUUCUGAACAUUAUACAAUAUUACAAUUGGAAUAGUUUUUAUACAAUUGAAAAGCUCUGAAGGCUAUUUUCAAACUAGUUUCAGUCUAACAUUCGUUUCUUGCGAAAUGAUGGCUUUCAUGCCGUGGUCAUCUAGGAAUUAAAGAGAACAAUAUUAUACAUAUAAGAACACAAACAGGUGUGUGCUUAUUAUGUUUGCAUCUAUUUCAUUGGGAACAUGGAUAUAAAUAAAUAUAUGUGCUUAUAUAUAGUUUAAAAUUUAUAUUGUAUAGCGACUACGUUGUUGUUUUUUUGCUUUGCAGGUUUCCUAAAGCUAGCCAAUGAAAUUCUUCAAAGAAGUUGAUCUUGGAAGUUUCAGUAGUGACUAUCCCAGCAGCAACACAUUUUGGCAUGGAUGAUUUACACAGAUACAUGUUAAUAAUGGAACUAAAUGAUUAUCCUUGCUGGAUUUCUACCUUAGUAAGCAUUUCCGCUGUUAAACCAUGAUUAGCACACUAAAUUUAUUCGCAGUGCCGUUAUUUGUGCGACUGAACAUGUAUAACUUAUGGUCAGCGUGUUUAAUGUGGAUUGAAGUGUUUUAUUUUUUUACUGUUUA